GCUGGUGUAGCUCAAUGGUAGAGCAAUUGAUUUGUAAUCAAUAGGUUGCGGGUUCGAAUCCCAUCACCAGCU
rnacentral:tRNA from 1 species